UACAGAGGGUGCAAGCGUUGUUCGGAAUUAUUGGGCGUAAAGCGCGUGUAGGCGGCAUGGCAAGUCGGGUGUGAAAGCCCUCAGCUAACUGAGGAAGUGCGCCCGAAACUGCCGUGCUUGAGUGCCGGAGAGGGUGGCGGAAUUCCCCAAGUAGAGGUGAAAUUCGUAGAUAUGGGGAGGAACACCGGUGGCGAAGGCGGCCGACCUGGACGGUAACUGACGCUGAGACGCGAAAGCGUGGGGAGCAAACAGG
rnacentral:rRNA from 1 species